UAAUUGCUAGGUAAACGAAUGCGUUGGCGAAGACGGUUCGGCGAUUCGUCGAGCCGUUGCGAAGUUAUUAAAGAAACGGAUGUUUAGGCUUCGUUUUCGCCUGGAGGGCCGAGGCGAUAUCGUAAAUUCAUGAAAACGGAUUUGAGGCAUCGUGGCACAUAACCGAAGACCUUUAAUUUUCGGAUCGUGAAUUGGAGGCCGUUCGGGUGGUCGCGCAAGAGAUCGGAUCAAACCGGGUGGCGGGUGCCGCGGGAGGCCGAUUGCAAGUGU
rnacentral:lncRNA from 1 species